rnacentral:rRNA from 1 species
GACGAACGCUGGCGGCGUGCCUAAUACAUGCAAGUAGAACGCACAGUUUAUACUGUAGCUUGCUACACCAUAGACUGUGAGUUGCGAACGGUAGAGUACCGCGUAGGUAACCUGCCUGGUAGCGGGGGAUAACUAUUGGAAACGAUAGCUAAUACCGCAUAAUAUUGAUUAUUGCAUGAUAAUUGAUUGAAAGAUGCUAUUGCAUCACUACCAGAUGGACGUGCGUUGUAUUAGCUAGUAGGGGAGGUAACGGCUCACCUAGGCGGCGAUACAUAGCCGACCUGGAGGGGUGGUCGGCCACACUGGGACUGGGACCAGGCCCAGACUCCUACGGGGGGCAGCAGUAGGGGAUCUUCGGCAAUGGGCGAAAGGCCGAACGCGGAACGCCGGGGUGGGGGAGGAGGGCUUCGGGACGUAAAGGUCCGUUGUGAGAGAAGAAAGGGUAUGAGAGUGGAAAGUUCACACUGUGACGGUAUCUUACCAGAAAGGGACGGCUAACUACGUG